AAAUGGACUCUCAGCAACGGAUAUC
rnacentral:rRNA from 1 species